AAUGAACGUUGGCGGCACGCCUAACACAUGCAAGUCGAGCGAAGAACUAGUUUACUAGUUACUGAGCGGCGAACGGGUGAGUAAUACUUGGAUAAUCUGCCACUAGGAUUGGGAUAACCUCAGGAAACUGAGACUAAUACCAAAUAUGACCACAGUCUUUACGGAGACAGGGGUAAAAUGUUUUUCGCCUAGUGAUGAGUCCAAGUCGCAUCAGGUUGUUGGUAAGGUAAUGGCUUACCAAGCCUAUGACGCGUAGCAGGUCUUAGCGGAUGAUCUGCCACAUGGGGACUGAGAUACGGCCCUGACUCCUACGGGAGGCAGCAGUGAGGAAUAUUGGACAAUGGACGAAAGUCUGAUCCAGCGAUGCCGCGUGAAGGAUGAAGGCCUUAGGGUUGUAAACUUCUGUCAGCAGGGAAGAUAAUGACGGUACCUGCAGAGGAAGCCCCGGCUAACUCCG
rnacentral:rRNA from 1 species